rnacentral:rRNA from 1 species
UACGUAGGGACCAAGCGUUGUUCGGAUUUACUGGGCGUAAAGGGCGCGUAGGCGGCGCGGUAAGUCACUUGUGAAAUCUCUGAGCUUAACUCAGAACGGCCAAGUGAUACUGCAGUGCUAGAGUGUGGAAGGGGCAAUCGGAAUUCUUGGUGUAGCGGUGAAAUGCGUAGAUAUCUGGAGGAACACCGGUGGCGAAGGCGACAUCCUGGACCGGUAUUGACGCUGAGGCGCGAAAGCCAGGGGAGCAAACGGG